rnacentral:rRNA from 1 species
AUGAACGCUGGCGGCGUGCCUCAUACAUGCAAGUCGAGCGCACAGACGAGGAGCUUGCUCCUCUGACGCUAGCGGCGGACGGGUGAGUAACACGUGGAUAACCUACCUAUAAGACUGGGAUAACUUCGGGAAACCGGAGCUAAUACCGGAUAAUAUAUUGAACCGCAUGGUUCAAUAGUGAAAGACGGUUUUGCUGUCACUUAUAGAUGGAUCCGCGCCGCAUUAGCUAGUUGGUAAGGUAACGGCUUACCAAGGCAACGAUGCGUAGCCGACCUGAGAGGGUGAUCGGCCACACUGGAACUGAGACACGGUCCAGACUCCUACGGGAGGCAGCAGUAGGGAAUCUUCCGCAAUGGGCGAAAGCCUGACGGAGCAACGCCGCGUGAGUGAUGAAGGUCUUCGGAUCGUAAAACUCUGUUAUUAGGGAAGAACAAAUGUGUAAGUAACUAUGCACGUCUUGACGGUACCUAAUCAGAAAGCCACGGCUAACUACGUG